AUCCUCCAACCUCAGCAUCCCCACUCCCUUGAGUAGCUGGGACUGCAGGCACGUGCCACUAUGCCCAGCUAAUUUUUGUAUUUUUUGUGGAGACAGGGUUUCGUCAUGUUGCCAGGCUGGUUUCGAACUCCUGGGCUCAAGCGAUCCUCCUAAAGUGAUCAGCCUCCCAAAGUGCUGGUAUUACAAGCAUGAGUUACCGUGCCUGGACAAGACUCUUUAAUUUAAAAUCACUUUUACAGAAACAGCAAAUGGGAGGCCCUGAGGCAGGAGAGUGCCUGAUGCAGUCAAGUUCCAGCAAGAGUCCAUGGCAGCUAACUCACAGUGAGCAAGGGGAACAAGGAUGAGAGAUGCAAAGAGGCCAUCAUGAGGGCUCUUGUCAGUCAGCCAUGGUGCUGAGGACAAAGAGAUGAUUAAGACACUGUCCCAGGCCUCGGGCCCCACAAAAUGCUGGGGAAGUGCCAUGCUAUGCAGCCAGCAAUCAUUUUACCUUUUAAGAGCUUUGAGAGAGACACCCACUGGAAAGGGGUGCAGAGGACCCCAGAGGAUCAACUAACCCAGUGUGGGAGGGUCAGGGAAAGUUUCAUAGAGCCCAUGACCCUUAGGGCAAAUCUUGAGAGGAAGAUGGCCAGGCAGAGGAAAUGGGAAAAUCUGUUCCAGCACCAUAUUUGCUAGAUUAUUGGCACUUUAUGUACAGCAUCUCCUUUAAUCUUCACAACUACCCUGCUACACAGCAUUUUAGAGGUGAGGAAACUAAGGCGGAGAGAGAUUAAGUUACUUGCCCAAGGGUACACAGAGACAAAGCCAGGACUAACUCAUAACAAAGUAGGUAGGUUUUGUUUGUUUUGCAUGUCAGAUUGCUUCUAGAAAUAACAGCGGGCUUCCUGUUAAUUCCAGGCAAGGUCCUGCUAUUUUAUAAUUGUGGUUUGUUCUUUCAAUGAUGGGAGCAUGUGGUGUAUGGAUCCCACCUUUCCCCAGUGCUGUGCACUCCUCCCCAUGAUGGAGAGAUUGGGAGGAACGACCUGGCUAGGAUUGCUGGCUCUCCUGACACCUUCUCAUGGCAUCCAUGUGGUUUAUCCAGUUUUCUGAAAAGUAAGUAAUUUUUAAAAUACUGAAAUUUGAAAGUAUAAGAACAUGUUGCUUUUUAAGGGAUAUUUACAUGUUUAUAUAUUUUUAUGAAUUUGAAGACUAUAAAUAUAUAAAUGCAGUUUCAAGUAUCAUUUCCUAUAAAAUAUAGGGUCUUUCUUUUCUUUUGUUUUUUUUUUUUUUUUGAGACAGAGUCUCACUCUGUCACCCAGGCUGGAGUUCAGUGGUGCAAUCUUGGCUCACUGCAACCUCUGCUUUCCAGGUUCAAGUGAUUCUCGUGCUUCAGCCUUCCAAGUAGCUGGGAUUACAGGCAUGCACCACCGUGCCUGGCUAAUUUUUUGUAUUUUUUUUUUUUAGCUGAGGUGGAUGGAUCAUCUGAGGUCAGGAGUUUGAGACCAGCCUGAUCAAUAUGGUGAAACCCUGUCUCUACUAAAAAUAUAAAAAUUAGCCAGUGUGGUGAUGCGCACCUGUAGUCCCAGCUACCUGGGAGGCUGAGGCACAAGAAUUGCUUGAACCCGGGAAGCAGAUGUUGCAGUGAGCUGAGAUCAUGCAACUGCACUCCAGCCUGGGUGACAGAGGGAAACUCUGUCUCAAAAAAAAGGGUAUGGGGGGUUCUUUUUGGGGGUGCUAAAAAUGUUCCAAAAUUGAUGGUGGUGAUGGAUGCACAUGCUAAACAUCACUGAAUUGUACCCUUUAAAUGAGUGAAUUGUAUAGUAUAAAUAAUAUCAAUAAAGCUGUUACCCGAAAAAAUCAGAUGAAUGGAA